CAGCAAACAUAGAAAGCGAUAAAAGAAAAAGAGAGGAGAGGAAAAAGAAAUGGAGGACGACAAUAAUAAUAACACCAACACAAACGUGAUCGCACCUUUUGUUGUGAAGACAUAUCAGAUGGUCAACGACCCUUCGACCGAUUGGCUCAUCACUUGGGGGCCUGCACACAACAGCUUCAUCGUCGUUGAUCCUCUCGACUUCUCUCAACGAAUCUUGCCUGCGUAUUUCAAACACAACAAUUUCAGCAGCUUUGUUCGUCAACUCAACACCUAUGGGUUUAGGAAAGUGGAUCCAGACCGGUGGGAGUUUGCGAACGAGCAUUUUCUCAGAGGACAGAAGCACCUGCUCAAGAACAUAGCGCGUAGGAAACACGCGCGUGGGAUGGUAUACGGCCAGGAGAUGGAGGACGGUGAGAUCGUGAGGGAGAUCGAACGGUUGAAAGAUGAGCAGAGAGAUCUUGAGUCAGAGAUUCAGAGGAUGAACCAAAGGAUCGAGGCGACGGAGAAGCGGCCGGAGCAGAUGAUGGCGUUUCUGUACAAGGUCGUUGAGGAUCCCGACCUCCUCCCGAGGAUGAUGCUCGAGAAAGAGCGGACAAAGCUAGUCUCCGACAAGAAGAAGCGUCGUGUCACGGUGAAGUCAGAGGACGAGGAAGAAAACGGAAGGGUCUUUGGGAUUAUUUCACCGACACCGUCUCCGCCGGAGAAUCUUUACCGGACUCAGUCGCCGGAGAAUUCUAUGGGAUGGGUUGUUCCGAUGCAGAAGCCGGGCAACUUUGGUAGUUACAACGAGACUGGUCUGAUUUCCACUUCGUCGACGUCAUCAUCGUUAACGUCGACGCUGUCGCUGCCGGAGAGCGUAAACGGAGGCGGCGGAGGAUGUGGGAGUAUUCAGGGAGAAACAAGAUACAAAGAAGCGGCGACGUUUGGAGGAGUGGUAGAGUCAAAUCCACAAACACCGCCUUAUCCGUUUUCUUUGUUUCGAGGUGGCUUUUAGUCUUUUAGCUUCACAUGAUAUAUGAUCUUUGUUUCUUAUCUAUUAUUUUUUGUUUUUUUGUUUUUUUGUUUUUCUUACCUAAUAAUGUAUAACCACCAGAAAAGGUAGAUCGAUUGUUGUUAGUGACAGGGAGACAGAGUCAGUAGUCAUAUCGUUUUAUAGAAAGUUGACAGUAUAUAUUUUCUGAUUAUAUUGUUAAAAGUUCAUUCAUAUGAUGGCUUUGUUUUUUUCUAAGUAUUUUCAGGUGAUUCGUAAACACUUUGUAAUAACAACAAUUUUGAUCUU